AUUGGAGGGCAAGUCUGGUGCCAGCAGCCGCGGUAAUUCCAGCUCCAGUAGCGUAUAUUAAAGUUGUUGCAGUUAAAAAGCUCGUAGUUGAACUUUGGGUCUGGUUGUCCGGUCCGACUUUAUGUCGCGCACUGGUUUUCAACCGGAUCUUUCCUUCUGGCUAACCUGUACUCCUUGUGGGUGCAGGCGAACCAGGACUUUUACUUUGAAAAAAUUAGAGUGUUCAAAGCAGGCGAAAGCUCGAAUAUAUUAGCAUGGAAUAAUGGAAUAGGACGUUUGGUUCUAUUUUGUUGGUUUCUAGGACCAUCGUAAUGAUUAAUAGGGACGGUCGGGGGCAUCAGUAUUCAAUUGUCAGAGGUGAAAUUCUUGGAUUUAUUGAAGACUAACUACUGCGAAAGCAUUUGCCAAGGACGUUUUCAUUAAUCAAGAACGAAAGUUAGGGGAUCGAAGAUGAUCAGAUACCGUCGUAGUCUUAACCAUAAACUAUGCCGACUAGGGAUCGG
rnacentral:rRNA from 1 species